GCAAGUCGAGCGGUAACAUUUCAAAGCUUGCUUUGAAGAUGACGAGCGGCGGACGGGUGAGUAAUGCUUGGGAAUAUGCCUUAUGGUGGGGGACAACAGUUGGAAACGACUGCUAAUACCGCAUAACGUCUACGGACCAAAGGGGGGGAUCUUCGGACCUCUCGCCAUUUGAUUAGCCCAAGUGAGAUUAGCUAGUAGGUGAGGUAAGGGAGAACCAAGGCGACGAUCUCUAGCUGGUUUGAGAGGAUGAUC
rnacentral:rRNA from 1 species